CCGCACUAACUGGGGAGGUAGCGGUGCCUUGUUACCUGCAAUCCGCUGUAGCAGGGGUGAAUGCUUCUUUGAGGGCCUGGCUGUGUGGCUGCGCCUAUUCCGAAGAUGUUGAAGAACGGGUCUUGCGCGAUCAAAAGCUGUGAACCAUGUCAGGUGGGGGACCAAGCAGCAUUAAGCAGUAUCUUUGAUGUGUUGUGAGGUUGCCUGUUUGGAGUUGGAAGAUAGGUUUCCGCGCGUGGCUUCGGUUCGAUGGAAGCUGUGCGG
rnacentral:SRP_RNA from 1 species